rnacentral:rRNA from 1 species
AAAUUGAAGAGUUUGAUCAUGGCUCAGAUUGAACGCUGGCGGCAGGCCUAACACAUGCAAGUCGAGCGGUAGCACAGAGAGCUUGCUCUCGGGUGACGAGCGGCGGACGGGUGAGUAAUGUCUGGGAAACUGCCUGAUGGAGGGGGAUAACUACUGGAAACGGUAGCUAAUACCGCAUAACGUCGCAAGACCAAAGUGGGGGACCUUCGGGCCUCAUGCCAUCAGAUGUGCCCAGAUGGGAUUAGCUAGUAGGUGGGGUAAUGGCUCACCUAGGCGACGAUCCCUAGCUGGUCUGAGAGGAUGACCAGCCACACUGGAACUGAGACACGGUCCAGACUCCUACGGGAGGCAGCAGUGGGGAAUAUUGCACAAUGGGCGCAAGCCUGAUGCAGCCAUGCCGCGUGUAUGAAGAAGGCCUUCGGGUUGUAAAGUACUUUCAGCGAGGAGGAAGGCAUUAAGGUUAAUAACCUUAGUGAUUGACGUUACUCGCAGAAGAAGCACCGGCUAACUCCGUGCCAGCAGCCGCGGUAAUACGGAGGGUGCAAGCGUUAAUCGGAAUUACUGGGCGUAAAGCGCACGCAGGCGGUCUGUUAAGUCAGAUGUGAAAUCCCCGGGCUCAACCUGGGAACUGCAUUUGAAACUGGCAGGCUUGAGUCUUGUAGAGGGGGUAGAAUUCCAGGUGUAGCGGUGAAAUGCGUAGAGAUCUGGAGGAAUACCGGUGGCGAAGGCGGCCCCCUGGACAAAGACUGACGCUCAGGUGCGAAAGCGUGGGGAGCAAACAGGAUUAGAUACCCUGGUAGUCCACGCUGUAAACGAUGUCGACUUGGAGGUUGUUCCCUUGAGGAGUGGCUUCCGGAGCUAACGCGUUAAGUCGACCGCCUGGGGAGUACGGCCGCAAGGUUAAAACUCAAAUGAAUUGACGGGGGCCCGCACAAGCGGUGGAGCAUGUGGUUUAAUUCGAUGCAACGCGAAGAACCUUACCUACUCUUGACAUCCAGAGAACUUAGCAGAGAUGCUUUGGUGCCUUCGGGAACUCUGAGACAGGUGCUGCAUGGCUGUCGUCAGCUCGUGUUGUGAAAUGUUGGGUUAAGUCCCGCAACGAGCGCAACCCUUAUCCUUUGUUGCCAGCGGUCCGGCCGGGAACUCAAAGGAGACUGCCAGUGAUAAACUGGAGGAAGGUGGGGAUGACGUCAAGUCAUCAUGGCCCUUACGAGUAGGGCUACACACGUGCUACAAUGGCAUAUACAAAGAGAAGCGACCUCGCGAGAGCAAGCGGACCUCAUAAAGUAUGUCGUAGUCCGGAUUGGAGUCUGCAACUCGACUCCAUGAAGUCGGAAUCGCUAGUAAUCGUAGAUCAGAAUGCUACGGUGAAUACGUUCCCGGGCCUUGUACACACCGCCCGUCACACCAUGGGAGUGGGUUGCAAAAGAAGUAGGUAGCUUAACCUUCGGGAGGGCGCUUACCACUUUGUGAUUCAUGACUGGGGUGAAGUCGUAACAAGGUAACCGUAGGGGAACCUGCGGUUGGAUCACCUCCUUA